GAGAAGAAGGUGGUAAUCUGCAGACUGUGUUGAGCUCUUGUCUUACUGUGGGGAGGCAGUAAAGAAGGAUGGAGGGAGUGAGGGAAGAAGGGAAGGAGGAACAAAAGGGUAGGAGGGAAGGGAAGGAAGAAGGCUUAAGGAAAAGGCUGCUGAGAGGUGAGGUAUAAUACACACAAAGUGCUCCUCUGUGCAGGUGUGAAGGUUUCCUGCACAGAGAUCAGCCCAGGCAAAGUUGAAACCAGGCUGCCUGUCUCCAGCCCCACUGCCUCAUUGCUGCCUCCCUUGGACAUGGCUGAAUGCCUCAGAGAUCCAUCUGGAUUCGAGUCAAGAGGAUCUGCUGGAGGCAAAAUAAUAGGGCACAACAUGUGAGAAAGAACUGAAGAAUGGGUGCAUCUGUAUGGGAAUGGUGUGCAGGGUGUUUCAGGGGGACCGAGGCUGUUAACCUGUUUGAGAUCAAGUGCCACAAGCUCUUAAAGCCAUGAUGAUCUCUGUGAGAUACAGACAUUUCUACCUGAAGACACAGUUCAAGUGUCUCAGAGCUGAGCUUCUGUUGCCUUGCAGCCGGCACAUCCUGCGUUACCCUCUUACUGGGUUAGACUUUGAGUGCAACUGGACAGGCUGGACUAUACUAAUCCCUGAAUGGAGCAUGGCUUGAGUUUGCUCAGAAUGGCCUGGGUAUGGCUGGCUUGGCCUGAGUUACACUGGCUUUGAUGUGACUGAGCUAAACAUACAUGGACUGAGUGCAAUCUGAAUGCAGGUUUGAGAUGGCAUCGAUAUGGGCAUGUUCUGGGUAGGCUAGACCUGAUGGGAUUAGCUGCCUUACACUGUGUUGGACUUGGAGAUGAAAACAAGACUGCUUUGAACUGAGUUAAUAUUCAUGGUGGAUGAGAGUGGGCUGAUGGGAAGAGUUUGCCUGGAUACAGUGCUGCAAGUGACUUCGCUGGUUUAAAAGCCUCAUUUUGCUUUUACCAGAACCUGUUGCACCAUUUAGGAAUCCAUUUGCUGGACCAACUUUCCAUGGGUAGGAAAAAGGUUAUUCAGCAAGUGCUGAAAUAGGAUCCCCAGAAGGCUGACAAAAAUCUUUAGCUUCUCAGUGUCCAACAGCUCUGGGCCAUCUCCUUCUUCUACAACCCGUGAGUGGUUCAUGCCAGAACAUCUGCAUCUUCUUCCUGAAGAAGCCUUAAAAAGGAAAAUGCUCGGAGAAAUUCCCAAAUGAGGGAUGGCUGCUGGUGUUUGGAGUGAGUUAAUAGGACCUGAAAACCUCACACAUGAGGUUUUAUGAAUGACUGGGUUGCCUCGAUAGUGCAACAUUUUGUGCAAUCUAAAAUAGUGUGUGUAAUGCAUUGCCAGUGUGACUUACUGAAGUGAUAACAUAAAUACUUGGACACAGGAUUAAGCCUCAAAUAAAGGGAAAUUCGGGCUGUUUCCCAAUAAACAAUGUCUCAACAUAAAAUACUGUACGUGAACGACCUGGCGAGUCAGUCUAGGUGGCAGUGCUGCCAAAUCCCUUCCCUCCCCACUUGUUCUGCCUCUGCUUUUAUAAACCAGAAAUGUGUAGUGAUGGGUAGGAGAUGGUGUUGUCCCAGGGAGAAGCAGAGCCCCAUCUCCUUACACAGCUAGCAGAGAGUGGAGCAGGAGAGCGGAGGGUAGCACAGCGCUGUACAGCUGCAGGGCUGCUCACAACAGGGCAGAGCUCCCGGAGAAUGUGCUCUUUGUUCCCUGCCUUUAAAGGGUAAGAGAAACACUUAUGCAUGGCAAAUUAGCCCAAAAAUGUAUUUCUCUAAAACACCCGAUUGUCUGGCCAGCUCUGCAGCUGCAGGGAAGUUCCAGGGAGAGAAGGGGGAGGCGGCGGGAAGGAGAAAGAGGGAGGCAGGGAAGGAGGAUUUUGAUGGCUGUGGGGGAAAAGGCAAGAUGAUUGUGUGGAUGAGGGACAAAUUCUCAUGCCUCGAUUCAAACAGAGCUGACCAGUGAGCAGGGGACCCCUGAUGGAGGGGCCACAUUGGUGGCCAGGGGACCAUGGAUGCUGUGUGGUCUUCUGGGGGGGUAGGGAGGAGAGGGGACAGAGGGGACAGGAGGCAGCUGUGCUCCAGGCAGUGCACUGAUGCAGCCGGUGGUGCCGGGGAGUCCUGGUGCCCAUCUGGGCCAGGAUGCUCAGCAAGCAGUGCCAUGCUCCUCUAGUCACCGUGGCCUGCAUCCCAGGGGGCAAUGGGUUGUGACCCCUCUGCUUCAGAGCAAAAUGCACAGGGUGCAGCCCUCUGUGGAGGUGCAGGGGCUGUGCUGUUCCCAAGAUGUGGCACGUGGGUUUAAAAUGCCCUGAAUGUACUCUUGAUUAGGAACUUCAUCUGGCCUUGUUAGGAAUGUCCAGCCUAAUGUUGAUAGUAAUUUAAAAACUCCCAAACCAUCACUGGCGGACAAGUGAUGCCUUGAACUUCCCUGGGGUUCGGAAAGCAAAACCUAAUGGUAAGAUCCUUGAUAACCGCUCAGACAGGGAAGUUCAUGGCGAGUGCCACUGUCCUGUCUCUGCCCCAGGGGAUGCCACUGAUAGCAGAGUCAGGCCCACCAUGAGCACAGCGGAGAUCUCAGUGUCUGAGGAGAGUCUCCCACACUGGCUGGGAUGAGAGGUCCUCCUCGUGUGCAUGAUGUGCAUGAUGAGGAUUUAUUUUCUCUUCCAUUAUCUGUUGAUGUGGAAGGAGAGGUGCUCCCUGCUGCAAACAACAGUGCGUUGCAGGCACAGCCUGACCAGUCCUCAUUACUACCUGCUGAAUGCUCUUGAGGUCAUCUAUGGUGUGAUCCAGAUGCUGUUCUCUGGUGAUGCAGCUCAGGCUAGUCUUUGUCUUUGAGGACACUCAGGGAUGCACUUGCCUGCUGUAUAUCCAGGUUGCAGAGCUCCGUCCUUUCUGUGAUGUGACAUGGCCUACUCUGGGCAGACAAGAGCAUCUCCUUCAAAGUCACCAGUGCCACCUGCUGUGGGGGCUGGUGAGACUGGUAGGUAGCCUUAGGUUAGGCAAAAUUUAGACUGCCUACGAGGAAUAUAGAGAGAUGACAGUCUCAGAAGAGGAUUUGGCUUUGAUAUAUCCCUGUGACUAUCCAGCUCAGGUGUAGGGUUAAUGGUGCCACCAGUUCAAGCUGGCACAAGCAAACUUUACUGUUUCCAGUUGCUAAACUCAUUGUGUGAGGAGAUUUUUUCAAGGAAAACCUUAUAACUCUUUAUAUUUGUAACCCAGAAGUCCUAUGAAGUCCCCUGGCACUGGACUGGAGGAAAGGAAGGACAAGUUGAAACUGGCUGUUUCAUCUGAACAAGUAGUGAUCCUGACUGCUGGCAAAGUAGUGACCGAAGUGCCACCAUCUUCCAGCACUGUCCUGCUGCUCCCUAUGAAAACCAGUGGAGCUCUCCAGGGGCACGUGUCCACAGGCAGCUCCAGAAGAAAAAAAUGCAAGUCAACAAAAAAGAUGGGACAAUACAGCCAUUGAUGAACUGCUCUCGUCCUCCCAUCCCGAUCCCCCCCACUCCCUCCCUCCCCUCCUCUGGUGCGUGCCAACACUCUUUCCACCCGCCCAGGGCUGGAGCCAGCGCCAAACAACCUCUGCUAAUAAACAAGAGGAACCAGAUAAACCAGGAACACAAUAGAGGGAUUUGUUGCACUUUAGUGAUGGUGGGAACAAUGUCAACUCCGUGGCGCAGCUGCAGGGACCCCCUCCCGUCCUCUCCCCCCACUGCCUUGCGCCCCCCGCUCACUUGCAGCCCAACACUGUGAUUUAUGAAAGGCCAAAGGUCACUGUGCAUUAAAGAGCUCCUUUCUUGCAUCAUUUAUUAACCCCUCUACGACAAGGCACGCUCAUUGUGGCGGCAGCGGUGAUGGUGGUACCGGGACCAGGGAGGGGACAGAGGAAUCCAUCCCAGUACCACCAUG